rnacentral:lncRNA from 1 species
UGAACUUGGCUGGCUUCCUCAAGGGGCAAGGUAAGUAUGGUAUUUUUUAUUUGGACUUAUUAAGUAUUUAUACUUAUCCUUUGUUGUUUCUAUGCAUAGAUUUUGUUCAAUUUGUGAAGCCUCACUCAACCUCCAGAUUACUACACCAUCUUCAAGACUAUAAGAAUAUGAAACUAGGGUAUAUUUAGAUGUGGCAUGCACA